rnacentral:rRNA from 1 species
GGGGAAUUUUCCGCAAUGGGCGAAAGCCUGACGGAGCAACGCCGCGUGAGGGAUGAAGGCCUCUGGGCUGUAAACCUCUUUUAUCAAGGAAGAAGAUCUGACGGUACUUGAUGAAUAAGCCACGGCUAAUUCCGUGCCAGCAGCCGCGGUAAUACGGGAGUGGCAAGCGUUAUCCGGAAUUAUUGGGCGUAAAGCGUCCGCAGGCGGUCUGUCAAGUCUGCUGUUAAAGCGUGGAGCUUAACUCCAUUUCGGCAGUGGAAACUGACAGACUAGAGUGUGGUAGGGGCAGAGGGAAUUCCCGGUGUAGCGGUGAAAUGCGUAGAUAUCGGGAAGAACACCAGUGGCGAAGGCGCUCUGCUGGGCCAUAACUGACGCUCAUGGACGAAAGCCAGGGGAGCGAAAGGGAUUAGAUACCCCUGUAGUC